GAAAAGCAACCCAGAGGACUGGGGGUGUGAGGGACUGAUUUAUGAGGGCAGAUUAAAAGAAUGAAAAGUGUAUAGCCAGCGCGGCUAAGUGAUGACUAAGGGAGGGCAUGAUAAAUUGCCUCUGCAACCCUUUAAAGACCAUCUCCCAGCCCUGGCAGCUGGCAUCCACAUCUAUGCUUAACCUGGCUGCUAAGGGCAGGAAAUCGCACACCAUGCAAGAGGCAAGAUCCUCCCAGCUGAGAGGGGAAGGUGGAGGAAAUGCAAGGACAUCAGAGAGCUCUGCCUGAGCAACUUGCUCAGACCUCUGUUAUGCGGGGGAGAGGGAGGCCAGGAAGAGCUGAGUCAUGGACUCCACAUGCUUCAAGAGUGAAGUAAACAAAGACUAAGGAGGAGGAAACGGAAGGGUAGGAGUUUUCACACCUAGCCUUGACUGACAAUUCCUUUGUUCUCCAGCUUCCUGGAGUUUCAGGCGCGCAAGGAAUGCAGGAUUGGACCAUCCGUCAGUCAAAUAAGCAGAUAUGAUGAUAAGAAACACAGGGGCAAAUUUUCCUCCUGAUUACUUAAGAAAGCUCUACUCACAUCAAGUCCGUAGCUGAUCAGAGGAUUUGGCCCAAGAAGAUAUGCUAGAAUUUCCAACGAAGUAGAUAAUACCUCUGGCAUGAGAAAGACACUCCUAUUGCGUGACUGAGCUAAGGACCCAAACAAAAGCAUUUUAGGCCUAGGAUGCUUACACUGCCAAGGCUCUAACUCGAGUGACUUUGCCAGCCCGUGGUACAGCACAAAUUCCUCUGGGCAACUGUGACUCCUGAUUGACUUGCCCAACAUGGCAAGUUCAGCCACCCAUCCCUUCAUCAUGAAUCCCCCUGAAUGCAGUGCAACACGAAGCCUCCUUUAAUGGCCCAGCAGCAGUGGCAAAGACUAAAGACAGCACCUAAAAUAAACCAGCAUGCCUCUGAAUCCAGCUGACCUCCCAAGGGCACUGCACCCACUGAAUGUAAACUCCAGAGCUGUCCGUUCCACCGAUGGGGCAAGGACAGGGAGUCGAUGCACCAAGAGCUGUGCUACCUCCUAGAGAGAGAACUGACCCAGCUACCGCCCCAAGCCCCGAUUACAUGCAGCCCCCAAAGACUCAGGGCUAGAACACCUCCCCAUCUGAAUGUAGCUACGCAUUGCACUGUAUUCCUUUCCAGUCCCUGAUUUGUAUGACCUUAAAGGUGAACUGAAAUGCUUUUUUAAAAUAAGGAUCGUAAAUUACAGAAGACAUUUGAAA